rnacentral:rRNA from 1 species
GGAAUAUUGCGCAAUGGGGGAAACCCUGACGCAGCAACGCCGCGUGGAGGAUGAAGGCUUUCGGGUCGUAAACUCCUGUCAGGUGGGAAGAAAAGGCUUCGGUCAAUACCCGGAGCUGCUGACGGUACCACCAGAGGAAGCCCCGGCUAACUCCGUGCCGGCAGCCGCGGUAAUACGGAGGGGGCAAGCGUUAUUCGGAAUUAUUGGGCGUAAAGGGCGCGCAGGCGGCUUGGCAAGUCAAAGGUGAAAUCCCUCGGCCCAACCGAGGAACUGCCUUUGAAACUGCUUGGCUUGAGGCCGGGAGAGGAUAGUGGAAUUCCCAGUGUAGCGGUGAAAUGCGUAGAUAUUGGGAGGAACACCAGUGGCGAAGGCGACUGUCUGGACCGGUUCUGACGCUGAGGCGCGAAAGCGUGGGGAGCAA